CAGCCGCCGCGGGAAUACGUAGGCGGCAAGCGUUGUCCGGAAUUAUUGGGCGUAAAGGGAGCGCAGGUGGGACGGUAAGUCCGUCUUAAAAGGCAGGGGCUCAGCCCCUGUAAGGGAUGGAAACUAUCGAUCUUGAGUGCCGGAGAGGAAAGCGGAAUUCCCAGUGUAGCGGUGAAAUGCGUAGAUAUUGGGAAGAACACCAGUGGCGAAGGCGGCUUUCUGGACGGCAACUGACACUGAGGCUCGAAAGCCAGGGGAGCGAACGGGAUUAGAUACCCCAGUAGUCCCUGUCUCUUAUACA
rnacentral:rRNA from 1 species